AUGCAAGUCGAACGCGAAAGGGACUUCGGUCCUGAGUAAAGUGGCGCACGGGUGAGUAACGCGUGGAUAAUCUACCCGAUGAUCCGGGAUAACAUUUCGAAAGGGGUGCUAAUACCGGAUAAGACCACGGCUUCUUCGGGGGCUGCGGUAAAAGGUGGGGACCUUCGGGCCUACCGUUAUUGGAUGAGUCCGCGUACCAUUAGCUAGUUGGUGGGGUAAGAGCCUACCAAGGCUACGAUGAGUAGCUGGUCUGAGAGGAUGAUCAGCCACACUGGGACUGAAACACGGCCCAGACUCCUACGGGAGGCAGCAGUGGGGAAUAUUGCGCAAUGGGCGAAAGCCUGACGCAGCGACGCCGCGUGAGGGAAGAAGGCCUUCGGGUCGUACACCUCUGUCUAGAGGGAAGAAACCAUUGAGGUCGAACAGGCCUCUUUGCUGACGGUACCUCUGAAGGAAGCACCGGCUAACUCCGUGCCAGCAGCCG
rnacentral:rRNA from 1 species